GACGAACGCUGGCGGCGUGCUUAACACAUGCAAGCCGAACGGUGAAGGGACCAGCUUGCUGGUUCUGGAUGAGUGGCGAACGGGUGAGUAACACGUGAGUAACCUGCCCCCUUCUUCUGGAUAACCGCAUGAAAGUGUGGCUAAUACGGGAUAUUCUGGGUCUGUCGCAUGGCGGGCCCGGGAAAGAUAUUGCUUCGGUGGGGGAUGGGCUCGCGGCCUAUCAGCUUGUUGGUGGGGUGAUGGCCUACCAAGGCGGUGACGGGUAGCCGGCCUGAGAGGGUGGACGGUCACACUGGGACUGAGACACGGCCCAGACUCCUACGGGAGGCAGCAGUGGGGAAUAUUGCACAAUGGGCGCAAGCCUGAUGCAGCGACGCCGCGUGAGGGAUGGAGGCCUUCGGGUUGUAAACCUCUUUCGCCAGUGAAGCAGGCCUGCUCCCUGUGGGUGGGUUGACGGUAGCUGGAGAAGAAGCGCCGGCUAACUACGUG
rnacentral:rRNA from 1 species